GCCCGCCUAGCUCAAUUGGCAGAGCACUUGAUUUGUAAUCAAGAGGUUGCCGGUUCGAUUCCGGCGGCGGGCU
rnacentral:tRNA from 1 species